UCUUGGUCAUUUAGAGGAAGUAAAAGUCGUAACAAGGUUUCCGUAGGUGAACCUGCGGAAGGAUCAUUAAUGAGUUGUGAUGGGGUUUGAUGCUGGCAGCCAAUUUUUGGAUGCAUGUGCUCGCCCUAACAAUCAUCUUCCAAACACCUGUGCACAUUUUUGAGGGAGUUUUGAGUUUAUUGCCGCUUUAUGGUGAUUUUCUUGUGAUUCCCUUAAAUCAUUAUACGCCGUUAACCAAUGAUGAACGUGCUUUGUGCCGUAAGGCCAUUAAUAUAAUACAACUUUUAACAACGGAUCUCUUGGCUCUCGCAUCGAUGAAGAACGCAGCGAAAUGCGAUAAGUAAUGUGAAUUGCAGAAUUCAGUGAAUCAUCGAAUCUUUGAACGCACCUUGCGCUCCCUGGUAUUCCGGGGAGCACGCCUGUUCGAGUGUCGUGAAAUUUCUCAAGCUUUGGAUGGCUUUGUUGUCUGUCCUUGGCCUUGGUUGUUGGGCUUUGCCGUGUCCUUCAUUGGGACGGCUGGCCUUAAAAGCAUUAGCUGAUCCUUGUGUGGCACUGGUUCUACUCAGCGUGAUAAUAGUCUGAUCGCUGAGGACAUCUUUUAGGAUGGCCAGUUCUCAUUUGGGUUGCUUCCAACUUGGUUUUGCAGAUUCUUCAAUCUGUGUUCCACUUUUCAGCUUUGACCUCGAAUCAGGUGGGACUACCCGCUGAACUUAAGCAUAUCAAUAAGCGGAGGA
rnacentral:rRNA from 1 species